rnacentral:rRNA from 1 species
CGUGUGGUUCUAUUUUGUUGGUUUCUAGGACCGCCGUAAUGAUUAAUAGGGACAGUCGGGGGCAUCAGUAUUCAAUUGUCAGAGGUGAAAUUCUUGGAUCUAUUGAAGACUAACUACUGCGAAAGCAUUUGCCAAGGAUGUUUUCAUUGAUAAGGAACGAAAGUUAGGGGAUCGAAGACGAUCAGAUACCGUCGUAGUCUUAACUAUAAACUAUGCCGACUAGGGAUCGGACGAUGUUAUUACUUGACUCGUUCGGCACCUUUCGAGAAAUCAAAGUGCUUGGGCUCCAGGGGGAGUAUGGUCGCAAGGCUGAAACUUAAAGAAAUUGACGGAAGGGCACCACCAGGGGUGGAACCUGCGGCUUAAUUUGACUCAACACGGGGAAACUCA